rnacentral:tRNA from 1 species
AUGUCGAUAGUUUAAUUUGGAGAAAACUUUUACCUUCUAAGUAAAAAAUUAUAGGUUCAAGUCCUAUUCGACAUU